UGGGUAACCUGCCUCAAAGAGGGGAAUAGCCUCCCGAAAGGGAGAUUAAUACCGCAUAAUAUGUUUAGGUCGCAUGACUUUAACAUCAAAGGAUUUUCUUUUAGAAAUUCCACUUUGAGAUGGACCCGCGGCGCAUUAGCUAGUUGGUGAGGUAACGGCUCACCAAGGCAACGAUGCGUAGCCGACCUGAGAGGGUGAUCGGCCACAUUGGAACUGAGACACGGUCCAGCUCCGUAGGAGG
rnacentral:rRNA from 1 species